rnacentral:rRNA from 1 species
GAUGAGCGCUAGCUACAGGCUUAACACAUGCAAGUCGAGGGGUAACGAGAGGAAAGCUUGCUUUCCUUGUCGACGACCGGCGCACGGGUGAGUAACGCGUAUCCAACCUGCCCCCAACUAGGGAAUAACCUUGCGAAAGUAAGACUAAUACCCUAUAAUUUCCUCAGAUGUCAUCUGACGAGGAAUAAAGAUUUAUCGGUUGUGGAUGGGGAUGCGUCUGAUUAGCUUGUUGGCGGGGUAACGGCCCACCAAGGCAACGAUCAGUAGGGGUUCUGAGAGGAAGGUCCCCCACAUUUGAACUGAGACACGGUCCAAACUCCUACGGGAGGCAGCAGUGAGGAAUAUUGGUCAAUGGGCGGAAGCCUGAACCAGCCAAGUAGCGUGCAGGAUGACGGCCCUAUGGGUUGUAAACUGCUUUUAUACAGGAAUAAAGUUAGCCACGUGUGGUUAUUUGUAGGUACUGUAUGAAUAAGGACCGGCUAAUUCCGUGCCAGCAGCCGCCGUAA